rnacentral:rRNA from 1 species
CAGCAGCCGCGGUAAUACGGAGGGUGCGAGCGUUAAUCGGAAUAACUGGGCGUAAAGGGCACGCAGGCGGUGACUUAAGUGAGGUGUGAAAGCCCCGGGCUUAACCUGGGAAUUGCAUUUCAUACUGGGUCGCUAGAGUACUUUAGGGAGGGGUAGAAUUCCACGUGUAGCGGUGAAAUGCGUAGAGAUGUGGAGGAAUACCGAAGGCGAAGGCAGCCCCUUGGGAAUGUACUGACGCUCAUGUGCGAAAGCGUGGGGAGCAAACAGGAUUAGAUACCCCUGUAGUCCCUGUCUCUUAUAU